UACGGAGGGUGCAAGCGUUAUCCGGAUUUACUGGGCUUAAAGGGUGCGUAGGCGGGCAGGUAAGUCAGUGGUGAAAUCUCCGGGCUUAACCCGGAAACUGCCGUUGAUACUAUUUGUCUUGAAUAUUGUGGAGGUAAGCGGAAUAUGUCAUGUAGCGGUGAAAUGCUUAGAUAUGACAUAGAACACCAAUGGCGAAGGCAGCUUACUGCGCAAUGAUUGACACUGAGGCACGAAAGCGUGGGGAUCAAACAGG
rnacentral:rRNA from 1 species